UAAAGCUCUAUCAGCAGGGAAGAAAAUGACGGUACCUGACUAAGAAGCCCCGGCUAACUACGUGCCAGCAGCCGCGGUAAUACGUAGGGGGCAAGCGUUAUCCGGAUUUACUGGGUGUAAAGGGAGCGUAGACGGCAGCGCAAGUCUGGAGUGAAAUCCCAUGGCUUAACCAUGGAACUGCUUUGGAAACUGUGCAGCUAGAGUGCAGGAGAGGUAAGCGGAAUUCCUAGUGUAGCGGUGAAAUGCGUAGAUAUUAGGAGGAACACCAGUGGCGAAGGCGGCUUACUGGACUGUAACUGACGUUGAGGCUCGAAAGCGUGGGGAGCAAACAGGAUUAGAUACCCUGGUAGUCCACGCUGUAAACGAUGAUUACUAGGUGUUGGGGGACCAAGGUCCUUCG
rnacentral:rRNA from 1 species